GUAGCCUUCCCAUCUGGACGACUUGCAAUAUGUAUCCUAUCUUCUGCAAGGUCGAACUCUCCAAAAAAUUCAAUGAUGUUGGAUUUUGUAACAGAGAAGGGGAGACCACGCAGCUUCAGUAUCUCAGUGUAUUCCAUCUGGUCCUUGUCGCUGAACCUCUUUUGUCGAGGAGGAGGGCUUCCAUGGUAGUCAUUAUCAUAAAUGCCCUCAUAAUUUACUUCAGCAGCAACAGCAUUAUAAUAAUCCUGCCUUUUGCACCUGAAGACUUCUACGUACCUACGCCCCAUAUUCUGUCGAUCCCGUUGCAAUGCAAACUCAACCUGCACAGAGCCAGCAAAGACAACAAAGGCUUCUCCCAUGAACCGCCCAUUCUUGUUGACGAGCAGCACAUCCACAAUGUCCAGUCCGGCAAAGAACUUGAAAAUGUCAAUGUCGGUGCAGUUGAAGGGAAGUCCUCUAAGGC
rnacentral:misc_RNA from 1 species